rnacentral:rRNA from 1 species
UACGAAGGGGGCUAGCGUUGCUCGGAAUCACUGGGCGUAAAGGGUGCGUAGGCGGGUCUUUAAGUCAGGGGUGAAAUCCCGGAGCUCAACUCCGGAACUGCCUUUGAUACUCCCGCGCUUGAGUGCUGGAGAGGAGUCCGGAAUUCACGGUGGAGCAGUGAAAUGCGUGGAUAUCGUGAGGAACACUAGUGGCGAAGGCGGGACUCUGGACAGCUACUGACGCUGAGGCACGAAGGCCAGGGGGAGCAAACGGGG